rnacentral:rRNA from 1 species
AUGCAAGUCGAACGGGUGUAGCAAUACAUCAGUGGCGCACGAGUGAGUAACGCGUGGGAAGCUACCCAUCAACUGGGGAAUAACGUUUGGAAACGAACGCUAAUACCGCAUACGCCCGAAAGGGGAAAGAUUUAUCGGUGAUGGAUGUGCCCGCGUUGGAUUAGCUUGUUGUGGGGUAACGGCCUACCAAGGCGAUGAUCCAUAGCUGGGUCUGAGAGGACGAUCAGCCACGCUGGGACUGAGACACGGCCCAGACUCCUACGGGAGGCAGCAGCUAAGAAUAUUGGACAAUGGGGGAAACCCUGAUCCCAGCCAUGCCGCGUGAAUGAAGAAGGCCUUCGGGUUGUAAAGUUCUUUUAGUAGUGAAGAUUGAUGACAGUAGCUACAGAAAAGCACCGGCUAACUUCGUGCCAGCAGCCGC